CGGAGGGUGCAAGCGUUAUCCGGAUUUAUUGGGUUUAAAGGGUGCGUAGGCGGUAUUUUAAGUCAGUGGUGAAAUGUUGCAGCUUAACUGUAGAAUUGCCAUUGAAACUGAAGUACUUGAGUUAUCUUGAGGUAGGCGGAAUGUGUAGUGUAGCGGUGAAAUGCUUAGAUAUUACACAGAACACCGAUUGCGAAGGCAGCUUACUAAGGAUAAACUGACGCUCAGGCACGAAAGCGUGGGGAUCGAACAGGAUUAGAUACCCUGGUAGUCCACGCCGUAAACGAUGAUGACUCGCUGUUGGCGAUACACAGUCAGCGGCUUAGCGAAAGCGUUAAGUCAUCCACCUGGGGAGUACGCUCGCAGAGUG
rnacentral:rRNA from 1 species